ACGCAUAUUCUCUCUCUCUAUAUCUGCUUCUGCUGCUGCUUCUUCUUCUACAGUACAGAAGACGAUGUUCGAUCUGAUUGAAUUGGACGCGGGAAUGGAGGUCAUUCAAUUAGGAAUCACGAAAG